rnacentral:rRNA from 1 species
CCUACGGGAGGCAGCAGUAGGGAAUCUUUCACAAUGGGCGAAAGCCUGAUGGAGCAACGCCGCGUGCAGGAUGAAGGCCUUCGGGUUGUAAACUGCUUUUAUAAGCGAGAAAUAUGAUGGUAACUUAUGAAUAAGGAUCGGCUAACUACGUGCCAGCAGCCGCGGUCAUACGUAGGAUCCGAGCAUUAUCCGGAGUGACUUGGUGUAAAGAGUUGCGUAGGUGGCAUAAUAAGUAGCUAGUGAAAUCUGGUGGCUCAACCAAUCAGACUAUUAGCUAAACUGUUAAGCUCGAGACCGUUAGGGGUAACUGGAAUUUCUAGUGUAGGAGUGAAAUCCGUAGAUAUUAGAAGGAACACCAAUAGCGUAGGCAGGUUGCUGGGACGGUUCUGACACUAAGGCACGAAAGCGUAGGGAGCAAACGGGAUUAGAUACCCCUGUAGUC